AUUGAACGCUGGCGGCAGGCCUAACACAUGCAAGUCGAGCGGAUGAAGGGAGCUUGCUCCUGGAUUCAGCGGCGGACGGGUGAGUAAUGCCUAGGAAUCUGCCUGGUAGUGGGGGAUAACGUCCGGAAACGGGCGCUAAUACCGCAUACGUCCUGAGGGAGAAAGUGGGGGAUCUUCGGACCUCACGCUAUCAGAUGAGCCUAGGUCGGAUUAGCUAGUUGGUGGGGUAAAGACCUACCAAGGCGACGAUCCGUAACUGGUCUGAGAGGAUGAUCAGUCACACUGGGACUGAGACACGGUCCAGACUCCUACGGGAGGCAGCAGUGGGGAAUAUUGGACAAUGGGCGAAAGCCUGAUCCAGCCAUGCCGCGUGUGUGAAGAAGGUCUUCGGAUUGUAAAGCACUUUAAGUUGGGAGGAAGGGCAGUAAGUUAAUACCUUGCUGUUUUGACGUUACCAACAGAAUAAGCACCGGCUAACUUCGUG
rnacentral:rRNA from 1 species